GUCUACGGCCAUACCAUGUUGAAAAUACCAGGUCUCGUCCGAUCGCUGAAGUUAAGCAACGUCGGUACUAGUCAGUACCUGGGAGGGAGACCAUAAUGUCUCAAUUAUGAACU
rnacentral:rRNA from 1 species